AGCGUACACGGUGGAUGCCCUGGCAGUCAGAGGCGAUGAAGGACGUGCUAAUCUGCGAUAAGCGUCGGUAAGGUGAUAUGAACCGUUAUAACCGGCGAUUUCCGAAUGGGGAAACCCAGUGUGAUUCGUCACACUAUCAUUAACUGAAUCCAUAGGUUAAUGAGGCGAACCGGGGGAACUGAAACAUCUAAGUACCCCGAGGAAAAGAAAUCAACCGAGAUUCCCCCAGUAGCGGCGAGCGAACGGGGAGCAGCCCAGAGCCUGAAUCAGUGUGUGUGUUAGUGGAAGCGUCUGGAAAGGCGCGCGAUACAGGGUGACAGCCCCGUACACAAAAAUGCACAUACUGUGAGCUCGAUGAGUAGGGCGGGACACGUGGUAUCCUGUCUGAAUAUGGGGGGACCAUCCUCCAAGGCUAAAUACUCCUGACUGACCGAUAGUGAACCAGUACCGUGAGGGAAAGGCGAAAAGAACCCCGGCGAGGGGAGUGAAAAAGAACCUGAAACCGUGUACGUACAAGCAGUGGGAGCACGCUUAGGCGUGUGACUGCGUACCUUUUGUAUAAUGGGUCAGCGACUUAUAUUCUGUAGCAAGGUUAACCGAAUAGGGGAGCCGAAGGGAAACCGAGUCUUAACUGGGCGUUAAGUUGCAGGGUAUAGACCCGAAACCCGGUGAUCUAGCCAUGGGCAGGUUGAAGGUUGGGUAACACUAACUGGAGGACCGAACCGACUAAUGUUGAAAAAUUAGCGGAUGACUUGUGGCUGGGGGUGAAAGGCCAAUCAAACCGGGAGAUAGCUGGUUCUCCCCGAAAGCUAUUUAGGUAGCGCCUCGUGAAUUCAUCUCCGGGGGUAGAGCACUGUUUCGGCAAGGGGGUCAUCCCGACUUACCAACCCGAUGCAAACUGCGAAUACCGGAGAAUGUUAUCACGGGAGACACACGGCGGGUGCUAACGUCCGUCGUGAAGAGGGAAACAACCCAGACCGCCAGCUAAGGUCCCAAAGUCAUGGUUAAGUGGGAAACGAUGUGGGAAGGCCCAGACAGCCAGGAUGUUGGCUUAGAAGCAGCCAUCAUUUAAAGAAAGCGUAAUAGCUCACUGGUCGAGUCGGCCUGCGCGGAAGAUGUAACGGGGCUAAACCAUGCACCGAAGCUGCGGCAGCGACGCUUAUGCGUUGUUGGGUAGGGGAGCGUUCUGUAAGCCUGUGAAGGUGUGCUGUGAGGCAUGCUGGAGGUAUCAGAAGUGCGAAUGCUGACAUAAGUAACGAUAAAGCGGGUGAAAAGCCCGCUCGCCGGAAGACCAAGGGUUCCUGUCCAACGUUAAUCGGGGCAGGGUGAGUCGACCCCUAAGGCGAGGCCGAAAGGCGUAGUCGAUGGGAAACAGGUUAAUAUUCCUGUACUUGGUGUUACUGCGAAGGGGGGACGGAGAAGGCUAUGUUGGCCGGGCGACGGUUGUCCCGGUUUAAGCGUGUAGGCUGGUUUUCCAGGCAAAUCCGGAAAAUCAAGGCUGAGGCGUGAUGACGAGGCACUACGGUGCUGAAGCAACAAAUGCCCUGCUUCCAGGAAAAGCCUCUAAGCAUCAGGUAACAUCAAAUCGUACCCCAAACCGACACAGGUGGUCAGGUAGAGAAUACCAAGGCGCUUGAGAGAACUCGGGUGAAGGAACUAGGCAAAAUGGUGCCGUAACUUCGGGAGAAGGCACGCUGAUAUGUAGGUGAAGCGACUUGCUCGUGGAGCUGAAAUCAGUCGAAGAUACCAGCUGGCUGCAACUGUUUAUUAAAAACACAGCACUGUGCAAACACGAAAGUGGACGUAUACGGUGUGACGCCUGCCCGGUGCCGGAAGGUUAAUUGAUGGGGUCAGCGCAAGCGAAGCUCUUGAUCGAAGCCCCGGUAAACGGCGGCCGUAACUAUAACGGUCCUAAGGUAGCGAAAUUCCUUGUCGGGUAAGUUCCGACCUGCACGAAUGGCGUAAUGAUGGCCAGGCUGUCUCCACCCGAGACUCAGUGAAAUUGAACUCGCUGUGAAGAUGCAGUGUACCCGCGGCAAGACGGAAAGACCCCGUGAACCUUUACUAUAGCUUGACACUGAACAUUGAGCCUUGAUGUGUAGGAUAGGUGGGAGGCUUAGAAGUGUGGACGCCAGUCUGCAUGGAGCCGACCUUGAAAUACCACCCUUUAAUGUUUGAUGUUCUAACGUUGACCCGUAAUCCGGGUUGCGGACAGUGUCUGGUGGGUAGUUUGACUGGGGCGGUCUCCUCCUAAAGAGUAACGGAGGAGCACGAAGGUUGGCUAAUCCUGGUCGGACAUCAGGAGGUUAGUGCAAUGGCAUAAGCCAGCUUGACUGCGAGCGUGACGGCGCGAGCAGGUGCGAAAGCAGGUCAUAGUGAUCCGGUGGUUCUGAAUGGAAGGGCCAUCGCUCAACGGAUAAAAGGUACUCCGGGGAUAACAGGCUGAUACCGCCCAAGAGUUCAUAUCGACGGCGGUGUUUGGCACCUCGAUGUCGGCUCAUCACAUCCUGGGGCUGAAGUAGGUCCCAAGGGUAUGGCUGUUCGCCAUUUAAAGUGGUACGCGAGCUGGGUUUAGAACGUCGUGAGACAGUUCGGUCCCUAUCUGCCGUGGGCGCUGGAGAACUGAGGGGGGCUGCUCCUAGUACGAGAGGACCGGAGUGGACGCAUCACUGGUGUUCGGGUUGUCAUGCCAAUGGCACUGCCCGGUAGCUAAAUGCGGAAGAGAUAAGUGCUGAAAGCAUCUAAGCACGAAACUUGCCCCGAGAUGAGUUCUCCCUGACUCCUUGA
rnacentral:rRNA from 1 species